UAAACUAGGAUUAGAUACCCUAUUAUUUUAGAAUGUUAAUGUCUGAGUAGUAUUAGUUAUGUUCUUGAAACUUAAAGAAUUUGGCGGUAUCUCAUUCCUUCCAGAGGAAUCUGUCUCGUUAUCGAUAGUCCACGUUGGACCUUACUUAGGUUUGUAUACCGCCGUUUAUUGAUCAUCCUUUUAGGGUUGGUUUUAAUUUUCUGGUUUCAUUUAUUAUGGUUUAUUUCAGGUCAAGGUGCAGCUUGUUUCUAAGUGAAUGAUGGAUUACAUUGUUAUUUGUUUUAUUGGAUUGUUGGUUUUAAUAUUGGCAUGAAAUUGGAUUUGGUUGUAAUUGUUUGUAGAUUGUUAUUGUGAUAGUGGUUCUGGGAUAUUUACACAUCGCCCGUCGCUCUCGUGUUGAUGAGAUAAGUCGUAACAUAGUA
rnacentral:rRNA from 1 species